rnacentral:rRNA from 1 species
AUUGAACGCUGGCGGCAUGCCUUACACAUGCAAGUCGAACGGCAGCACGGAGCUUGCUCUGGUGGCGAGUGGCGAACGGGUGAGUAAUAUAUCGGAACGUACCCAAGAGUGGGGGAUAACGUAGCGAAAGUUACGCUAAUACCGCAUACGAUCUAAGGAUGAAAGUGGGGGCUCGCAAGACCUCAUGCUCCUGGAGCGGCCGAUAUCUGAUUAGCUAGUUGGUGAGGUAAAGGCUCACCAAGGCAUCGAUCAGUAGCUGGUCUGAGAGGACGACCAGCCACACUGGAACUGAGACACGGUCCAGACUCCUACGGGAGGCAGCAGUGGGGAAUUUUGGACAAUGGGGCAACCCUGAUCCAGCAAUGCCGCGUGAGUGAAGAAGGCCUUCGGGUUGUAAAGCUCUUUUGUCAGGGAAGAAACGGUGAAGGCUAAUAUCCUUUGCUAAUGACGGUACCUGAAGAAUAAGCACCGGCUAACUACGUGCCAGCAGCCGCAGUAACAC